rnacentral:rRNA from 1 species
GGGCACUGUCUCAACGAGAGACUCGGUGAAAUCAUAGUACCUGUGAAGAUGCAGGUUACCCGCGACAGGACGGAAAGACCCCGUGGAGCUUUACUGUAGCCUGAUAUUGAAAUUCGGCACAGCUUGUACAGGAUAGGUAGGAGCCUUUGAAACGUGAGCGCUAGCUUACGUGGAGGCGCUGGUGGGAUACUACCCUAGCUGUGUUGGCUUUCUAACCCGCACCACUUAUCGUGGUGGGAGACAGUGUCAGGCGGGCAGUUUGACUGGGGCGGUCGCCUCCUAAAAGGUAACGGAGGCGCUCAAAGGUUCCCUCAGAAUGGUUGGAAAUCAUUCAUAGAGUGUAAAGGCAUAAGGGAGCUUGACUGCGAGACCUACAAGUCGAGCAGGGUCGAAAGACGGACUUAGUGAUCCGGUGGUUCCGCAUGGAAGGGCCAUCGCUCAACGGAUAAAAGCUACCCCGGGGAUAA